rnacentral:lncRNA from 10 species
AGCCUCCCGAGUAGCUGGGACUGCAGGCGCCCGACACGACGCCCAGCUAAUUUUUUGUGUUUUUAGUAGAGACGGGGGUUUCACCGUGUUAGCCAGGAUGGUCUGGAUCUCCUGACCUCGUGAUCCGCCCGCCUCGGCCUCCCAAAGUGCUGGGAUUACAGGCGUGAGCCACCGCGCCCGGCCCCUCAUAAGGGAAAGAGUUGUAGAACUGCAGCUUUUGGCUGUUCUCCAGGACUGGUGGGCAACUGUGGCAAGGUCAGCUUCCCCCAAUAUUUUUCUACUUUGGAUAGGAGGACUACCUCUCAGCAUUUCCUGUAAUGGCAUUGCACACCUGUAUACCCAGUCUUUGGCAAUACACAUUACAGAUACUGGCCAAAAAAGAAUUAGAAAAUCAGUGUCAAAGUUGGAUUGUGGUCCCUGAAGACUUAGAUUAAUGGAAUUCUGCUGGAAACAUAAAGGUUGUUUCCCUGCUGUUCACAUCUGUUGCAUCCUGGGAAAAAAACAAAAAGGAAGAUGUUAUGUGAAGAGCUGAUGUUUGCAUCGCCGACUCUCCCUGAUUUGUGCUGAUGAUAGCUGAAGCUGCAGUCUUGGCAUCUUCUACUGCACAUUGUCAUCAGCAAGGUAAGAAGUGCCUUUUGCCUCCUGCCAUGAUUCUGAGGCCUCCCUCCCCAGCCAUGUGGAACCAUCCCAAACUGCCUGUAUCUCUCCUUGUUAUGCCUCAUUCAUAAAAAG